rnacentral:rRNA from 1 species
GAGGAAUAUUGGUCAAUGGACGCAAGUCUGAACCAGCCACGUCGCGUGAAGGAAGACGGCCCUACGGGUUGUAAACUUCUUUUGUAAGGGAAUAAAGUGAGCCACGUGUGGCUUUUUGCAUGUACCUUACGAAUAAGGAUCGGCUAACUCCGUGCCAGCAGCCGCGGUAAUACGGAGGAUCCGAGCGUUAUCCGGAUUUAUUGGGUUUAAGGGGUGCGCAGGCGGGAGAUUAAGUCGGCGGUGAAAUUUUGCAGCUCAACUGUAAAAGUGCCUUCGAAACUGGUUUCCUUGAGUGUAGAUGAAGUAGGCGGAAUUUGUGGUGUAGCGGUGAAAUGCACAGAUAUCACGAGGAACUCCGAUUGCGCAGGCAGCUUACUAAACUACUACUGACGCUCAGGCACGAAGGCGUGGGGAUCAAAC